rnacentral:rRNA from 1 species
AUACGGAGGGUGCAAGCGUUAAUCGGAAUCACUGGGCGUAAAGCGCGCGUAGGCCGCCUUCUAAGUCGGACGUGAAAGCCCUCGGCUCAACCGAGGAACUGCGUUCGAAACUGGGAGGCUUGAGUCCUGGAGAGGGUGGCGGAAUUCCGGGGUGUAGGAGUGAAAUCCGUAGAUAUCCGGAGGAACACCGGUGGCGAAGGCGGCCACCUGGACAGGUACCGACGCUGAGGCGCGAAAGCGUGGGGAAC